UUGAAGCUGAUUCGUGCUUUAUUUAAAGCAGACAGUAGGCAGCAAACAAGGAAGAGUUUGCAAACUACAUCUCGAAGGACGUUUUGUUUGUGUGUUGUCGUUUCUUGUGUUCCAUCUGGGAGGCUCUGUUGAUGUGUAUGGCUACCUGUAAGAGAGCACUGAUGAAGAAUGGAGAAGAUGUAAAAUAGAGCUCGCCAAAGGUUUUAAAAAUAAAUCAAGAAAUGAGUGAAUGAAGGCAGAAGCGCCCAGAAAGAAGGUCAGGACCCCAGUGGAUGCCAGAAACUGCAGAUACUGUCGGAUCCUACUUAUUCCUGCUCCUGAAUGUGCACAAUCAUCCCUUACUUCAAGAACACUGUGAAAUUAAGUAUCCUUACCACAAGAGCCAGCGAACUCAAGGCCAGGACCAGAGUGAAGUAAAUGAUUCACCGUGGUGCAGACCAGAAAGAGGCUCUUUCUUCACAUCGUGCAGGCUCGGGAUUAGCCUUCUUUGGUGUCUCCUUCCCUUCUCCAUCGGGGGAGCUUCCUGUGCCUCACUCCAGCUCAGCCAUUGAAAGAACUAUCCAGAUAUUACAGAUACAUCUUUCUGAUUGAACACUGACUGAUAAAGAAGUGAUAUUUGAGGACAGUUCCUACAAAGAAUUCUCGUAUUAUAAUGAAUGUUACUUAGAUGUCAACAUCACCUGCAAGAGAACACACAUAUUAUUUUUCAGAGGUGCAAUGUUUGCAACUACAGAAACAGUGUCUAGGUAACAACUGAAAAUCCAUGUGCUCUUCCGUCCUUCUCUACCCAUGUCACGAGCAAAUCCUGAGCACGCUAUAAAAUUUAGAGGAAAGCAUGGACGUGAGGACUGAGAAAUGGAAACAAUGAGGAGCUCUGAGGAGUCCAGUGUCUGCCUUGCCAACGUGGGUGUGUAAUAUUUGAAGUAUGGAGAUGAGGACAACACAACGUAGUAUACUUUGCUGCUAUGUUUUGUUUGUUUGUUUGCUUGCUUGGUUUUUUUCCAUUUAGUUUAUUGGUACAUUUUAGCUAUACAAUACGGUUACAUUCAUCAUUGGGAUCUUGUAUCUUUACGUGGUGCAUCUUGGUUCUUAUUUUUUUCCCCAUUCCCCUGACCUCCUUUCACCCCCGCUACCCUUCCCUAUUUACAAAGACUUUGUUUCCAUGUUUUUCCUUUUCUCGUAUUUUUUCCUUUCCCUUCUUUCCUUUCCCCUUCCCCUCCCACUUCCCCUAUUCCUUUAGAUAUUUUCUUCCUAUUUCACUUGUUUUAACUAUAGAAGUUGGUUUCAGUAACUUAGGCCUCCAGUGUUGAAAAAGAAUGGGAGCAUGACUGAGGCCAAACCAGUGUCAUAUUAAUGUGAUUGGACAGAAACUCGCAGGCUGCCCAGAUAUUCUCAGCAAUUCAUCUCUCCUUUCCUCCAAGUAUCUGCCUGGACAGGUUAGGAUCCUAGAGGCCCUCCUCAUCUCAGUGCUGUUGCUUUAUAAGAGCUUAAAGGGAAUUCAUGAUGAGAGGAGCUUCCUGUUGUAUUAGAAAUAAAUAGAAGUGCUUGGUAGUCUUCAUUUUUUUCUGGAAAUCCAUGUACAGAGUCUCUUUUUCCUCUUCUAACUUCUUGUGUUCAUCUAGAGGGACACCACCGAGGGCCUUCAUCCAUCCUGUUACAGAUUAUAGACUGGGAAGCAGAUUUCCAAGGCACAAAUUUAAUUUACAAUAACUAGACACUGGACACAAACAACUAUUAGCAAAAGGCACAAAGGAACAACAUACCCCAUCUGAUGUGGAAUCAUUGGAACACAGAAAAAUAAUUUGAAAUAAACACAGUAAAUGUACUGAAAGAUAAAGGAAGAUGCCUUAACUCUUUUCUAUGAAAAAAGGAUAUAAAGAAAUAUGAACAAAGAACAGGAAAUCACAAAAAGAACCAUAGAAAUACAGGAAUGAAAAAUGAUAGAAAUAAAGAGCACAAUAGUUAGAAUAAACAAUAGGACAUAUGGAGAUUAAAAGAAGAUGAGAUUGAUGAAUUUUGGCAGGAAGCUGGAGAGAAAGAUUAUGAGAUUGAAAAUAUAAGAAGAGCUUCAAUGGACAGAUAUAAAAAUACCAGUAUCUGAGUAAAAGAAAUCCCAGAAAGAGGAAGAAAAUAGAAAACUGCCAAAGAAAUAAUUAAGAUAAAUUUUCUAGAAUUAGAAAAAGUGCUGAAAUGGAUCAAAUUUGAAAAGAUUAGGACAAGGAAACAACACAAAUAAGGACAACAUCACAUCUAGAUAAAGUGAAAUUUAAGGACAAAAAAGGUGAAACUAAAACUUUCAAAGAGAGAUCACCUACCAAGAAACUACACUGACCUUGUGUUGUUUUUUUUUACAAUAGUGGAAUCUAAAGGCCAAAAGUGUACAGGUUCUAAAUUUGUGAGAAAAAAAAACCCUAAAGGUGUAUAUUUACCCAAAUCUUCAUUUAAAUAUGAGGACAUACACAAAAUAUUGUGAGCCAUACUGGCCCUGCUUUUCUGUUACCCAAGCCACACACUAGAAAUAUACUUGAAAGAUCUCACUGAGUAAAAUAAAAAUUCAGAAGGAUCCUGUAAGUGAUAUAAAAAUGAAAGAAAUCAAAUAACUUGAUCAAAUUUAUUUUCUUAAAACAAGCUUGAGUAUAUGGAAAUUAUAUUCAUAACUCAAAC
rnacentral:lncRNA from 1 species